GGGACAACCCGCCGAAAGGCGGGCUAAACCCGCGUACAUGCCACCGGGGCAUCCCGGAGGCAGGAAAGGCUUCGGCCGGACAGGGACGGGCAUGCGGCGCAUUAGGCAGUAGGCGGGGUAACGGCCCACCUAACCGACGAUGCGUAGGGGUUCUGAGAGGAAGGUCCCCCACACUGGUACUGAGACACGGACCAGACUCCUACGGGAGGCAGCAGUGAGGAAUAUUGGUCAAUGGUCGGGAGACUGAACCAGCCAAGCCGCGUGAGGGAUGAAGGUACAGAGUAUCGUAAACCUCUUUUGUCAGGGAACAAAGGCGGGGACGUGUCCCCGGAUGAGUGUACCUGAAGAAAAAGCAUCGGCUAACUCCGUGCCAGCGGCCGCGGUAAUACGGAGGAUGCGAGCGUUAUCCGGAUUUAUUGGGUUUAAAGGGUGCGCAGGCGGUCUGUUAAGUCAGCGGUCAAAGCCCGGGGCUCAACCCCGGCCCGCCGUUGAAACUGGCAGUCUCGAGUUGGAGAGAAGUAUGCGGAAUGCGCGGUGUAGCGGUGAAAUGCAUAGAUAUCGCGCAGAACUCCGAUUGCGAAGGCAGCAUGCCGGCUCCACACUGACGCUGAGGCACGAAAGCGUGGGUAUCGAACAGGACUAGAUACCCUGGUAGUCCACGCAGUAAACGAUGAAUGAUGGCUGUCCG
rnacentral:rRNA from 1 species